ensembl:snoRNA
UCUGUGGAAUGUGAUGACUUCAAACUUUUUUCCCCAUCAGAUCGGCAAUGCUGACCAAAACUUGCAUUUUAGCCAGGCUGUCUGAUUCCACAGA